rnacentral:lncRNA from 10 species
CAAUGAAGGUUCUUUAGAUCCUUAUAAUUUUUAAGACUGUAAAACGGCCUUGAGACCAAAUAAUUUGAAAACUGCUAGUUUAGAUGGAAUUGUUUUUUGAUUUAAGAGUCUGUAGGGGCCAGGUGUGAUGGCUCACACCUGUAAUCCCAGUACUUUGGGAGACUGAGGUGGGAGAAUCACUUGAGCCCAGGAGUUUCAGACCAGCCUGAGCAACAUAGUGAGACCUCAUCUCUACAAAAAGCUUAAAAAUUAUCCAGGCAUUGUGAUGCACAUAGUUGGUGCUAAGUAGAAGUGUGAAUGAAGGGAAGGAAGGAGGACCAGAGAGCAAUUUUCAUGAUGUGUACAGAUUUUGAAGAAUUGUUUUUGACAUGGAUAACUUUCUGACUUCAUACAGAUAAGAAACCUGAUCGGGAAGAAAUUCAGAUGAGCAAUAUGGGAUCAAACACAAAAUCACUAGAUAACAACUAUUCCACACCAAAUGAGAGAGGAGACCACAAUAGAACACUGGAUCGAUCGGGGGAUCUAGGCGACAUGGAGCCAUUGAA